CUAUCCCACACGGCUUAAUAUUUCUUUUCUUCCGCGGCUUAGGAAUUAAAUCCCAUUAUACUUUUGAAAUUCUAAGGUAAUGGCUCAAACUAAAUUCUAGGCCCAGCUGGGGAUUAAUUUAUUCUGGCCCAAAAGAUUGAAUUUCAGGCCAAUCUAAAUAAAUUGCCUGGCCCAAUUUCUACCCCCUUUUCCCAAGUGGAAAAAGAAAAAGGAGGCCCAAUCCUUAAUACUCCCAUCUGCAUCGGUCUAUUCUCUCCCUCUUUUCUUCAAGCAAAAUCCCCAAAUUGGGGUAGGGAACACAGCGUCCCCUUCACUUCACGCCGAUCGGUCUUCGUCGCGAAGUCAACCACCGGCGUUCUAUCGUCACCAUCGCGCUCUCCCCCGUCGACGCCCCCUCUCGGCUGGAGCUCCGUCAUCAAGCUGGAACUCGGUCGCUGUUCGGCGUGAUUCGAGGUGCGGCUCCGGCAGUAGCUGUGCCUCACGAGGCUUCCGCAGUCGCCGCUGAGUCGCUGCUGGUUCCACAAGCUCGGCGUCGCCGCCUCCCCUUUCGACGACCAGCGCCGUCGUUGUCCAAAGCCUGAGAGCGACUACCGCUGCCCCGCGGUGAUCUUCGAGCUCCGUCGCCUCGCGAUCGCCCCCUCUAAGCUAAGUUUUCCUCUUAUACUCAGCUCAUUUGGUGGUUGAGUUCUACUACAAAUCUAUGUUCAACUCAUCCAUAAUCAAGAUCUAGGCAGUGGCUCGAGAGUUUGAUAGCAUAUGGUGUUGUUACUGUUCUUUAUCUAUGGUUUUCAUCAUGUUGGGUUCUGAAAUGAUAUAAUCUUAGCAUGCUCGUGGGUAAACAUGAUGCUUAUGAGUAACAUGAGCUUAGAUCUUGGUUGUUGGAUGAGUUACCUGCUGAGAUUUGCAGUUGGGUUGUAACACGACCCUUGAUCUAUGUCUCUCGGUUCCAGCCCUUGGUCUCAGCCUCCCUUUCUCCCUCUCGCUGCCUCGGUCCCUCUCGCUCUGGGAUUCACUAACUUAUGCGUGGUGGGGAGGAAAACAAAGGCUGGGGUUAUAUCCUAUAUAUAGGAUGGUGUGUAACUGAAAGCCUGUUAAAGGCUGUGUACUUGGCUGAAAAGGAACACCCAGGCUGUGCCAUUCUGGCUGGUCUUCUUGUAGUUUACAGGCCGUGUACCCUUGACCUGAGUGAGCCUAUGGCUCUCUACUAUGCCUCUGAUUAGUAACUGAACUGGCCCCUUAUGCUGGUACUCUCUUGCUGCACAUUCUGGCCGGAAAAAAAUUAGCUCUAUGUGGCUGAUUCUGUGAGGGUAGUACUGGGGUUGUACUCGUGGGUUUAGUGGCUGCUGGUUUGAUUAAAUUCUGUAGUGUUUUAACCGUUUUUGGCUUCAUGUGCAGGUCUAGUACUUGGUGAAUUAAUGGGCUGUUGUCUUCUUAUUGCAGGUGCAAAUAGAAGAUGGCAUUUGUGGCUGCUUCUCUCGACCAUGGCAGGUCUGAAAACUGACGGUACAAGCUGCUAACUGCAGCCUUGCAGUGUGCGGUUGUUGGAGAGGGGUUUACUGGCUGAUCUUGCCCUUCUCGGCCCAGCUUUCUCUCAUUUUUUCGAAAGGGUUAAGGCUAUAGUGCCGAGGCCAUCUCUCCUCGUGGCCUCACCCUCCCGGCUCGUCUGGGAUUUUGGGGCCAAGAUGGCUCACGUUGAAGGCCGAGGAAGUUCACUAUGAAUUCUCGGUUGUAGUAGUUCACUUUGAACCCCCUUUGUUCAUUUCUUUGUUCAACACAUGUACUAUUGCUAGUUGUCAGAUCUCGUUUCAUUUAUUCUCAUCGUCGGAGGUUGUAAGUUAUUAGUUUGAGAUUCUGGAAGUUGUAUUUGUACUCUUUCUCAAGAAUUAAAAAUACUCAUUCAUUCAUUAAUAAAAUUUCUCGCAUUUUAUUUCGUAA